UACAACUGAGCCCUCCACCACCAUUAAAAACCUCCUAACCACCGUAGACGCCGCCCAUUUCCACUCCUCCUUCCUUCUACCGUCGUGCAUCACCGUGAGUUGUCGUGACCGCCACCAUGAACUGCCGCCACCGUCGGACCACCGUCGUCGUCAUCGCCAGUGACCAAAAUUUUCCUUUUUGAUUUCUCUUUCUUUUGUCAAUUUCUUAGUGACUACAACUCAUAUUUUUCUUUCACUUAUUCGAUUACUUUAGAUCACUCAAACAUCAAUCUCAUUCUAUUCUUGAUCCUUCAAUCAUCUCGUAUUAAAUCAAGUGUAAGUAAGGUUGUUCGAUCCGUAAAUUCUUCAUUUUAGAAAUACCAUGGUUUGACCGAAUGGUAUAGAGUGAUAAUGUCAUCAAGUUAUUUUAUUAAUUGUUUAUCAUAAGUACUAAUGUGAUUUCAUAUCAACUUGAAGGACCAAACAACGCCAAGCAAAAAGACCCUUAGUGUGAUAACGAAGACAACAAAUCCAAGUUUCGAUUUAAGGGUAAGUGCUGGUGAGAACUAUUUCAAAUGAUUAAAAAUUUAAGUAUUAAAAAUCAAAUUUGAUAGAUCUAACUAAAAUACGUGUUUGAUGCGAUAGAUUCAUCUACUGGCUUAGAUCCAAGUGAAAUCUCCUUUAUUAGGAUUGUGGCAAUCGGAUCUAUGGUUUAAAGUGUGGGAUUUAACUCUUAUUUUAAGUGAAAUAUAAUGUUAUUUAAUUUAAAUAAAUGUUAUUUAAUUAAUUAAUUUGUGAGCAUAUUAAGUACUCGAGUGGAGUUAAAAAACUCAAUCAAAGAGGAAUCCAAGUAAGUGUCCUAAACUAUUAGGUGUUGUGAAAAUCCAUGAUUUGUGAUAUGUGAUGUAUGUAAUGCUGAUCUCAACUCUAUGUUAUGUGAUUUAUGGAUAGAUUAAUAUGUGAUGAUCUAAACAUGUGAUAUAUGUAUGUGUAUGUUAAGAUCCAUGUUUUAAUAUAAAUAUGUAUAUUAAAGCAUGCUAAAGUGAAAACUAUGUGAUAUGUAAAAGUGUGAGCAUGAUACAUGCAUAUGUGUAAAAACCGAGAAAUAUGAGUUAUGAGCAUGAAUAUAUGAAAAAUGUGAAAAGUGAAACAUAUGUGUUAAAAUGGCCACAUCAUAUGCAUGGGGUAUGAUUGAUAAAGGAGGAAGCUAUGUAGCAGUUUAACUGUGAUUAUGUGACCGUUAUCAGCAAUUAUGUGGUGGCUUGUCCACGAUGUGCUAUACGGCCAUUAUCGACAAUUAUGUGGUGGCUCUUCCACGAUAUCUUAUGUGACCAUUUAUCGACAUCUAUGUGGUGGCUUGUCCACAAAUGGUGUGUUAUCGAAUGGACAAGUUUUAGGGAACUCGAUAUUGGUGUGUAGCGAAGAUGGGUAGGAAAUCCUCGGAAAUGUACAUUAUUACAUAAGCAUAACUUGUUAUGUUCAUUAAAUCUGAUGCUAUGUGAAUUCUGUGAAAGUUAUAUUUAUGAUGAUUUGGAUGUGUUAUGCUACGUGUUGAAAUAUAUGUUUGUUACGAUCUCACACUGAGCCUUUUAAAGCUCACCCAUGUUAUGUGUGUGUCUCAGGUAAUUCUUGUAAUUGAGGCUCAGAUUCGGAUCUUCGGAGGGGCUCUCCGGUUAACGAUCUUUUGGUCAUGGAUUUUCUUUUAAAUAAUGUGGGACUUUUAAUAACUAUAUGAGUUCAUUUUGGAUUUUUAUUAUAGACUUUAAUUUGAUUUUGUCUUAAUAAUUUUUUUGGACUUUA
rnacentral:lncRNA from 1 species